rnacentral:sRNA from 1 species
CGGGUGCCUUCGGGGCCCGGCUGUCAUCUGGGCGCUGACCGCUUGUCUGGUACUCAGAGGUCCUGCAUCGGCCGGCGCUCCUUCGUAUCCAUCUUGCUCUUUGGAGGACUUGGCUAUGAGG